rnacentral:lncRNA from 1 species
GUGAAUAAUCUGACUUUAUUCAGCAUGCUAAUAGUUUAAACUGGUAAUAAAUUAGUAUAUACAGUUAUCAAAAAUGUUGGGGGCUUUCCAAGAAAAGGGUUUCUGAAUGUGUACACUGAAUUAUCUGCAGAAUCCUCUGAUGUGGAGUUACUGAAGAAUGAAGUGUCUUUCUCUGUAAGUCAUCUUAGUGUUUAGAUUAGAAAGGUUUCGAUUACCAUUCCAGCUCCUGCACACUACGAUGCCUGUGAUCACAUUCCUGAAUAUCACUCAUCACCAGUGCCACUGGCUUGUCUCCUGGGACGUUUGGACUUGGGCACCUUUUCUUCCUGCUCUUACGCUCACAGCAGAGGUGACAUUAAAGAUGUCUGUUCUUAUUUGAAAUUCAUCAUUGGUUAUUGGUAUCUACCAAACCAUCAGAUCUGAGUGUGGGACAGUCUUUUUCUCUUUGUAAUUCAUCCCCACCAGUUAGCACACACCUUGCUCUGUUCACUUGAGCCACCACUGGUU